GGAGAAUGGAUGUAGCUCAGCGGUAGAGCAUCUGCUUUUCUUGAAGAAGGAUCCAGGUUCAGUCCCCAGCAUCUCCA